AAUCAUGCGUCAAUGCCCUUCUGGGGUAGUAUUUAUUACAUCGAAACCAACCCCUUCGGGGUGAUGUGGUGAAUCAUAAAAAGCUUGCGGAUAGCAUGGCUUCGGAUGGGCUUGGAUCAUUCUAGUUUCUGCCCUAUUCGCUUAGGAUGGCCGGGGAUUGGCCUACCAUGGUGCCCCCGGGUGACGGGAAAUUAGGGUUUGAUUCCGGAGAGGGAGCCUGAAAAACGGCUACCACAUCCAAGGAAGGUCCAUGGUGCGUAAAUUACCCAAUCCUGAUGCUUGAGGACUCUCAAUAAAUCACAGUAAAAGGGCUGGGUACCACUGGCAUUGGAAGAGAACAAAUGAAAUCCCUUAUCAUGGAUCAUUCAAAGGGCAAACAUGCUUCCAAAAGCCGCGGUAAUUCCAGCUCCAAAUCCAUAUAUUAAGCUUUUUGCUGUAACAACUUUAAUAUUUGGAUUUUGUGACCUACAAUUACGUUCCGGUGCUGGGACCACACUUGACCCUGGAUUUUGCCAUCCUAAGGGGAAAUCAGUGUGGUCAUUCCUAUUCCUGCACAUGAAUAUGCUCUGUUACUUA
rnacentral:rRNA from 1 species